rnacentral:rRNA from 1 species
GAUGAACGCUGGCGGCGUGCUUAACACAUGCAAGUCGAACGGAAAGGCCCAAGCUUGCUUGGGUACUCGAGUGGCGAACGGGUGAGUAACACGUGGGUGAUCUGCCCUGCACUUCGGGAUAAGCCUGGGAAACUGGGGCUAAUACCGGAUAGGACCACAUUUUGGAUGGUGUGGUGGAAAGUUUUUCGGUGUGGGAUGAGCUCGCGGCCUAUCAGCUUGUUGGUGGGGUAAUGGCCUACCAAGGCGUCGACGGGUAGCCGGCCUGAGAGGGUGUACGGCCACAUUGGGACUGAGAUACGGCCCAGACUCCUACGGGAGGCAGCAGUGGGGAAGAUUGAACAAUGGGCGCAAGCCGGAUGCAGAGAGGCCGCGUGGGGGAUGACGGCCUUAGGGUUGUAAACUACUUUCGUUAGGGACGAAGCGUUAUGUGACGGUACCUGGAGAAGAAGCACCGGCUAACUACGUG